rnacentral:rRNA from 1 species
GGACUACAGGGGUUUCUAAUCCCGUUCGCUCCCCUGGCUUUCGUGCCUCAGCGUCAGUUAGGGUCCAGCUCGCCGCCUUCGCCACCGGAGUUCCUGUGCAUAUCAACGCAUUUCACCGCUCCACGCACAGUUCCGCAAGCCCCUACCCCACUCGAGGUCGCCAGUAUCCACGGCAGUUCUCCGGUUGAGCCGGAGGAUUUCACCACAGACUUGGCAACCAGCCUACGCACCCUUUAAGCCCAGUGAUUCCGAAUAACGUUCGCACGGUUCGUCUUACCGCGGCGGCUGGCAC